UGASGGACRAAAGCUGGGGGCACGAACCGGAUUAGAUACCCGGGUAGUCCCAGCCGUAAACGAUGCUCCCUASGUGUCGUGCAUGUMRCGACCGUGUCUGGUGCCGCAKGGAAGCCCUGAAGCGAGCCACCUGGGAAGUACGGCCGCRAGGSUGAAACUUAAAGGAAUUGGUGGGGGAGCACAACAACGGGUGGAACCUGCKGUUUAAUUGSACUCAACGCCGGACAACUCACCGGGGACGACAGCAAAAUGUAGGCCAGGCUGAAGACCUUGCCUGAAUCUUUGAGAGGAGGUGCAUGGCCGUCGCCAGUUCGUACUGUGAAGCAUCCUGUUAAGUCAGGCAACGACGAGACCCAA
rnacentral:rRNA from 1 species